GAUGAACGCUGGCGGCGUGCCUAAUACAUGCAAGUCGAGCGAACAGACGAGGAGCUUGCUCCUUUGACGUUAGCGGCGGACGGGUGAGUAACACGUGGAUAACCUACCUAUAAGACUGGGAUAACUUCGGGAAACCGGCGCUAAUACCGGAUAAUAUAUUGAACCGCAUGGUUCAAUAGUGAAAGACGGUUUUGCUGUCACUUAUAGAUGGAUCCGCGCCGCAUUAGCUAGUUGGUAAGGUAACGGCUUACCAAGGCGACGAUGCGUAGCCGACCUGAGAGGGUGAUCGGCCACACUGAAACUGAGACACGGUCCAGACUCCGACGGGAGGCAGCAGUAGGUAAUCUUCCGCGAUGGGCGAAAGCCUGACGGAGCAACGCCGCGUGAGUGAUGAAGGUCUUCGGAUCGUAAAACGCUGUUAUUAGGGAAGAACAAAUGUGUAAGUAACGAUGCACGUCUUGACGGUACCUAAUCAGAAAGCCACGGCUAACUACGU
rnacentral:rRNA from 1 species